rnacentral:lncRNA from 1 species
GAAGUCGUCGUCCAAAAUAGUAGUAGGCGCUACUACUAUUAGUAUUUCUAUUAGCUAGUAUUUUAUUACUACUAGUACAACUUACUGUAACUACUAUAAAGACGUCUUUUUAAACAUUAAAAAACACAACAUGAUGUUAGAUUUAAAGAUCAACAAACUCAAAGAGAGGGAGAGAAGCUAGAAGAGGACUGAAAAAAAGGGAGGGGAAAAACUGGUUCGACUUCUUUCUUCCAGAAUUUUUUUUUUUAUAAUUUUUUUAAUAACAUUGUAAUAUCGUCAAAUAAGUAAAGGAAGAGUCUUUGGUCGACUAA